AGCAGCCGCGGUAAUUCCAGCUCCAAUAGCGUAUAUUAAAGUUGUUGCAGUUAAAAAGCUCGUAGUUGAAUUUCGGGGUUAGUAGGUUGGUCAUGCCUCUGGUAUGUACUGGUCUCACUGAUUCCUCCUUCCUGAUGAGCCGUAAUGCCAUUAAUUUGGUGUUGCGGGGAAUUUGGACUGUUACUUUGAAAAAUUAGAGUGUUUAAAGCAAGCUAACGCUUGAAUACAUUAGCAUGGAAUAAUGAAAUAGGACGUUCGAUCCUAUUUUGUUGGUUUCUAGGAUUGACGUAAUGAUUAAUAGGGAUAGUUGGGGGCAUUAGUAUUCAAUUGUCAGAGGUGAAAUUCUUGGAUUUAUUGAAGACUAACUACUGCGAAAGCAUUUGCCAAGGAUGUUUUCAUUAAUCAAGAACGAAAGUUAGGGGAUCGAAGACGAUCAGAUACCGUCGUAGUCUUAACCAUAAACUAUGCCGACUAGGGAUCGGAUGAUGUAAUUUUUAAUGACUCAUUCGGCUCCG
rnacentral:rRNA from 1 species